rnacentral:lncRNA from 1 species
CGAGGGUGAGAGGUCCAUGUUUGUAAAGGUGUUUCAGUUUGUUGUGUGGUUGGAACGAGGGUGAGAGGUUCGUGUUUGUAAAGGUGUUUCAGUUUGUUGUGUGGUAGGAACAAGGGUGAGAGGUCCAUGUUUGUAAAUGUGUUUCAGUUUGUUGUGUGGUAGGAACGAGGGUGAGAGGUCUGUGUUUGUAAAGGUGUUUCAGUUUGUUGUUGUGUGGUUGGAACGAGGGUGAGAGGUCUGUGUUUGUAAAGGUGUUUCAGUUUGUUGUUGUGUGGUUGGAACGAGGGUGAGAGGUCUGUGUUUGUAAAGGUGUUUCAGUUUG